GGGGUUGUGGCUCAGUAGUAGAGCGCUCGCCUCACACGUGCAAGAUCCUGGGUUCAAUUCUCAGCACCA
rnacentral:tRNA from 1 species